rnacentral:tRNA from 1 species
GGGGCUGUGGCGGAAUUGGCAGACGCAACAGACUUAGGAUCUGUCGUUCGAGAGGACGUAAGGGUUCAAGUCCCUUCAGCCCCACCA